rnacentral:lncRNA from 1 species
GGCAGCUCCAUUUCCACUACUACAACAACAACAACAAUCUUUAUGAAAAAAACCCAAAAAAUCAUCUUCAACCACAACCCAAACAAAAUUCAUACCAACAAAUCUUAAAAUCAACCCCAAAAAAAUCCCCAAACUCAAUUCACGAAAGCACAUAAAUUUUGGUUGUUCCUCUUCACUUUCAUCUUUCAUUUUUUAAAAGUUCAGAUCCGUAACCUUCGUGUCAUGCUUGAGAAGGAAAAGUUUGGUACAUGUUUUAUUUCCUUCAUUAAUUUUCAGAUGCCAUGCAUGAAUGAACGAGAAAUUGAGAAGAAGGAAAAAUGGAAAUUCUGGAUCGGUCUUUUAAAGGAUGAGAUCGAGGUUGGAGUUUGAUUAACAAAUAAGAUAUGUUUCAUUCCAUACUCUAUAAUCAAUUCAGGUUGACAUAGUAAUUUCACACUUCUCUUUGAUUCCUUAGUUAUCUCUCUUUGACACACUGAUUUCAACUAAAUCCUUGAAUCCAUCUCUCUCUUUUUGGAUUCUUUCAUCACCUUCUUCAUCAACAUCAGAUUCAUAUUCAUUUUUUGAUUCAGGUUCAGAUUCAUGAAUCUUGCGUCUCUUUUGAAAGAAUUUCAUCAUUGUUGUUGGAAGAAGAAGCAAGAGCGUCUGAACUAAAUGAAGGAGUGGUGGAUUCGUUUUGCAGCUGUACUCAGAGUAAGUUUUACGGAGAUAGUCGACAAUUUUUUCGGCGGUUGAGAAUUUUGAUUUGAAAGGAUUGAUUAUGCGAAGAAUUCAGAUUUGUUUGGGAAAAAAAUGAAGGAGAUUUAGGAGAAGAAGAAGAUGCAUUUGCAACACCUCUUCCUUUUUUUUUCUUUCCUUUUAAUUUUAAAUUUUAUAAUUUUUUUUAUUUGUUUAAUUUAUAAAAUGAUUAUAUGGAUUUUUUAAUUCAAUAAUUACACAUGUGGCAUGCCACACAUGCGUUGAUUGGUCAAAAUUAGACACAGACUAAUAUUGCAAAGGGGCUAAAACAUAAGGGACUAAAUUUUACAUUUUUAUUUAUAGGAGGUCAAAAUUACAACUUUUUAAAACUUAAGGGAGAAAAAGUGUACUUUAGCCUAUAAUCUGAAAAUCCAUAACACGCUUCGGUGCUUCACAUUAUUAAGUCGAACUGAGAAAAAAAUUAGAAUUUUGAAGUCCACGUGAGAGGCUAUGAAGCGAUAAUAAACUCACUUCUAUAUUUUGAACUCUUUAUUUAAGUGGGUCUGCGGUUUGUACGACUUGGGCAAUCUUCUGUUACAGUUGAGCCGGAUUUUACCCAAAAUAAAAACUAGUAAAUUUGAAGGAAAAUGUUUUGGGAAGGAAAAACAUAAAUGAAACUUGAGAGACAUGGCGUGGAAAAAGAAUUUCACUAGGUGUUGGGGUGUUCCUCGAUGAUGAUACCAUCGUCCUAAAAGCAACAAAGCUUUUUUAGAAGUAAACAUAAGAGAAAUGAUAUUUGAACAAUCAUUUUUUUUAUAAUUUUUAUGAUAAUUUUCUCUCUUAUACUCGCGUGUUCUUUUUACUUUCUCUCUCUAUUACUUUGGUUUUGUGUCACUACCUCAUUUCCUUUGUAAAAUUUUGAUUGUCACGAAAGUUAUCACAUAUAUGGAUGUUCAAAUAACAGAGCUUUAAACAUAAGGUUUCUUUUCCCACCAUCCAUGCUCCUCGCACGCCCUCCAAAAUUCUAGAAACACCCUCCAAUUUUUUUAUUAUUUAAUUUAAAUUUUUUUAAUUUGUUCUUCGUGAUUUUUAUUGUUUCAUUUUCUAAAAUCCGAACAAAACAAGUACGCUUGGUUUUAGAAUCAGAAUGGCUCCAUUACAUUACAUGCUUCAAACCCUUCUUAUGCAUUUGAAAAAAAACAAGGGGUAUUUAUAUUCUAAAACAUUUGAAUAUUUAAAAUCAAUUGUUUUCUGUUUGGAUUAUAGAAUCUGAAUGAGUAAAUAGGCAAUUACCCCUUGAAAUUGUAAGUUUCGUCAACUAUCCUCCUGAAAUUCACAAAACUUCAAUCACCCUCCUGAAAUUGCACAACGUUAAUCAAUUUACCCUCUCCAUCAAAUUUUUCUUUUAGUCAACAUGAUGUAUUGCAAAUACCUCCCCUGAAAUUUUGCACUUAUGUGCAAAAUGUCUCCUAAACUUAAAAAUUUAUAUAUUUUUUUCUUUUAGUAUCUUUUUACUUUUAAAGAGACUAUUUAGUUUGAGGGACAAAAAAACACACAUAUUUUGUAAAAAAUGGUUUCAAAACAAGGACUUAAAUUGAAAUGUAUGUAGGGACCAAAUUUAAAAAAAAAUAAAAAAUUAUAAGGAUUAAAAAUAUAUCUAACUCUAAUAUAAAACAAAGAAUGAUUGUAAAGAAGAGAUUAUUGAAAUACCUGCAUAGUUGAUAAUCUGCCAUUUGUAGCUUGAGAUAACAUGCAUGUACUCGUGAUUUUCGGAUAUUAAACCAUUAAUUGAUUUGAAUCGUCAAUCUUUGAACUCUCGAUUUUUAUUCAUGAGAAGGGAAAAAAUGAGUAAAAACCCUUCAGACUUUGGAUUCGGGGGUUGGUUACGCGAAGGGAAGGUGCUAGCACCCUAAGCGUCUACGGUAUCCCGUAGGAACCUCUUACCUAGAUUAUCUUGUGCUAAAUUCAUUUGCUUACUUGAAAAAAUUAUUACCUAAAAAUCUAAGUGAAAGAAUGGAGGGAGAAGUAGUAUGCUUUUGGUUAUUUUUAUUUGAUUUGGAAGGAUUGACUCCCUUGCCUACAUACCCUUAAAGAAAAGGGAUCAAAACCAAUGUAGUUCACCUAAAAAGUUUCUUUGGUGGGUUAGGUUGAUUUUAAGAUUUU